AAUCCCAACUGCUAGGCUGUCAUUUGCAAUUCCAAUUGUUUCUUCUCUCCCCACUUCCGCAUGAUCUCCCCCCACCCGCUCUCGCGAUCUCUCUCCCUCCCCACUUCCGCUCGUAAUCUCUCUCCCUCCCCACUUCCACUCUCAACCGGCGGCGGUGAAGACGACGACAACGUGGAUCGGCUCUCGCGGUCUCUCCCCCUACCCACUUCCGCUCUCAACCGGCGGUGGCGGCGAAAGCGAUGACGACGACGACGACGAGGAGAUCCAGUUUCACCUGCAUGCCCUAAUGUCACCUCCGGCGAUGACGACGAUCAUCGAAAACGGUGAGAACUUCUCGAUCCUCUAUCUCUAGUUGCACCAAAACCCUAAAUUUCUAGAUUCAAACUGUAUUCUAUCGAUUGAUUUCUCUACCGAGCUCCCUCCCAAUCCUCUCCACUUCUACCGAAACCCUAACCGUAGAUAGAAAUUGAGAUUUUGGGAUUCAAGCUUAAAUUGAGAUUUUGGGAUCAAAGCUUUCACCUCUCUUACUCUUCUUCUUUAUGCCAACGUUGGUACUAAUAAUUUUGCGUAGAGUUCUGAGAUUACUGUGAAAAUCAAUAUUAUAGUUUGGAAACUUUAGAAGAAUAAUUAUGACAAGGAUGACACAGAAAAAAAAGCUACAAGUUUCUAAAAUCAAUUUAGUAUUAUGCUAAGAAGAUCAUGUUCUAUAAUCAUGUGCUAUUUGCAAACUUAAUGAAUUUCAUGCAUUGACAUCUAUUUGUCGUGGUAUGUUAUCUUAUUCAUUAUCAUAUAUAUUUUAACUUCCUUUUUUUUGGUUGAUGAAAAUUUUAUUUUAUAAACCAAGUGAAAAUAUGCACAUCAACUACUCAGGCACACCAAUGUACAUACAAGUAUGUACAAAUAGGAUGUUCUCUCCACCGAUAUACAUACAAGUAUGCACAAAGCCGCCCUUUAAUUGAUCCAUACCAAUGUAUCAGCAUGACAAUGAUCGAAGUAGGCAAUAAAGAAUUUAUCACAUGAAUUAAAUACUGAAUAUAUUAACCACAAGGUAUAUUGUUUGUCUUUGGUAGACUUGUGAAUUCUCAGACAAAGAGAUACAUGGCUCCAAAUCCUAUAACAUACGAUUGAUGGCUUCUGAAAUCUGAAAAGACCUGAUGAAGGGCCUUAAACAUUGAAGGACAAUCUGUUUCUUUACUAUGUUAUUUCACAAAAAAAAACAUUGCUCCUAAUUAAGUUUUACACAAAAUUAGUAGUACUAACCUUGUUCAUUCACACAAUCUUUUUCCAUCAUAAUGCCAGUAAUUUUCAAUUCCUUUGUUUGAAAUGAUAUGCUUCAUGUUGACUAAAGGAUUGAGUAAAUUUCGCUCUUUGUGAGUGCAUGCACUUUCAAACUUUUAACAGUCAAUGAAUUUUUAUACUUGAAUAUAUCACACUGCUUACUCGUAUGAAUCCUUUUGCUAAUAAUUCUGUGUCUUGGUACUAUAUAUUCUCUUGACCAUUGUUUUAUAUAUCCCCUACAUGGCCGAUAUAUUGGCCGAUGUGUUUUUUUAAGGCUUGCUGUAAAGUGAUAUGGUCUCAAUAUUCUUUUAACGCUUUUGGCAAUUUGUGAGUGAUAUAUGUAUUUUUUUCGAUAUAUCAAGUGACAUUUCAGCCUUAGAAAAUCAGCUAAAAUAUCUCUAAUAUUCGCGAAUAUCCCUCGUCAAAUAUAGAAUUUUUCUCCCAGGCAUGUCCCCAACAUCGGACAUUUAGAACACUGCUCUUGACAAAUAUGUACUUUUUUCCAAUUGUUAUAUAUUCUCUUGAUAAAUAUAUACCUUUAUUCUUUCCUGAAUACUGUUCAUGUCACUCUACAACAUGGGGAUGAAUUUAUAAAGGAUGUUAAGUCCAUCCAUAUGCUCUUUCUUCUUUUGUAUCAUCAAAACCUUGUGCGCUUCACAAAAUCAAGGUUGUCCGUUCGUUGUUGAUCAUUAGAGGAAGAGCUUAAAAAUCAUAUUUUUAGUUUUAUUUCCUUUUAGUGGUUAGUGGUUAUGUGCAUUUUUAAAUUUCUGUCUUAAACGGUUGUAUCGAUCUUAUUUUUCUCUUAUUUGACCUUAUUGUUCACAUAUAUCCCAUUUCUGUUUGUAGCAGAUUCGGAAUGCGCUUGCAAGGAGGGGGGAAACAUAUGCAACUAGAGGAACAUCCUUGAUAUAGUCUUCAACUUGGAGUAUUCUUCCUCCCUUGGAAUCAGGUAAUUCAAGAACUUGCAAAGCAAGACUUUCUGAAUCGAGGGGGAGAAAACUACAAAAAAAAUACAAAGUGAAAGUGUAUAAGCAUUAAAAAUAAACUCUCAUUUAAAUCAGAUGUAAAAUCUUAAAGAAACUAGUGCGAGAGCAACUUAAGCAUGACACUAUGUAACAUCGAAAUAUUAACUUUUUGUGGGUUUGUGUUUGUUGGAUAUUUUGGAUCUCUAGUUUGUUGAAUUGUUAUAUGUAAUAUUUGAAGUUUCUACUUUAUUUGUUGUUUUGGGUUA